UGCGAGGUUCGCCUGCCGGAGCCCCGCCGCGACUCUAAAGAAGUGCGCAGUCGGCGAUUCGGUCGCCGGCAACGCUGCCACCCUGCGCUGGAAGCGCCCGAACGCGGGCGUGACCAGCAGCUCCUUCGGGGGUUCACAGGUCAAACGGUAGCGGCCGCUCCCCGGGGUGGUUAUGAUAUGAUCGGCCCCAGCCGUUGCCCCUACGGCUGGCGAAGUUUGCGGAACCUGCGGAAGGAUCAUUACCGAGAGGGGGCCCAUCGCGCCCCAGGGGGCCUUGCCCCGCACCUUUCCACCCUUUGUGUAUCUUCCAUUGUUGCUUUGGCGGGCCCCGGGGCUCACGUCCCGGCGCUGCCCCCCUCAAGGGGCUCGCGAGCGCCCGCCGAAGGCCCAUCGAAACCCUGUUUUUCAGUGCAGUCUGAGUAUACGAGAAAUAAGCUAAAACUUUCAACAACGGAUCUCUUGGUUCUGGCAUCGAUGAAGAACGCAGCGAAAUGCGAUAAGUAAUGUGAAUUGCAGAAUUCAGUGAAUCAUCGAAUCUUUGAACGCACAUUGCGCCCUCUGGUAUUCCGGGGGGCAUGCCUGUUCGAGCGUCAUUACAUCCCUCAAGCACUGCUUGGUAUUGGGUGCUCGCCUUUCCUCCCUGGGGGGCGCGCCUGAAAUUCAGUGGCGGUCCUGGUGGACUUCAAGCGCAGUAAACAUUUCGCUUUGGAAGCUUCCUGCCGGUGGCCCAGCCAGCAAACCAUUUUUGUACCCCAAAAAUCGACCUCGGAUCAGGUAGGGAUACCCGCUGAACUUAAGCAUAUCAU
rnacentral:rRNA from 1 species